rnacentral:rRNA from 1 species
UACGUAGGGUGCGAGCGUUAAUCGGAAUUACUGGGCGUAAAGAGUGCGUAGGCGGUUCUUUGUGUCCUCUGUGAAAGCCCCGGGCUUAACCUGGGAAUGGCAGUGGAAACUAGAGAACUUGAAUCUGGCAGAGGGGGGUGGAAUGCCACGUGUAGCAGUGAAAUGCGUAGAUAUGUGGCGGAACACCGAUGGCGAAGGCAGCCCCCUGGGCUGAGAUUGACGCUCAGGCACGAAAGCGUGGGGAGCAAACAGG